rnacentral:rRNA from 2 species
GGACUACUGGGGUAUCUAAUCCUGUUUGCUCCCCACGCUUUCGUGCCUGAGCGUCAGUGUCAGCCCAGGGGGCUGCCUUCGCCAUCGGUGUUCCUCCGCAUCUCUACGCAUUUCACUGCUACACGCGGAAUUCCACCCCCCUCUGCCACACUCUAGCUCGCCAGUUUCCAAUGCCAUUCCCAAGUUGAGCCCGGGGCUUUCACAUCAGACACAACGAACCGCCUGCGCACGCUUUACGCCCAGUAAUUCCGAUUAACGCUCGCACCCUACGUAUUACCGCGGCGGCUGGCAC